UUUUUUUUUUUUUUGCCAAAAUCAAGUUUUUUAACUACUUGCUAAUUAUUCUGUUUCCUUAGGGCUACUUUGAAGUGUUUGAAAGCUAUAUCAGUAGCAGUUACUUCUAAACUUAGUGCAGAAUAUUUUGCUAAGCAUUUUACUAUAUUAUACAACAUGUCCUACUAUGGUACUUUAUAAUAAAAUCAAAUUCUCAAGUAUUCUGGCAUAUUACAUAUGAUUAUACCCAAACAUCACUUCCUAUCAGUCUAUUACUAUAUAUGCAUAUUUUUUGAAAAAAAUACUGGGUGUUUUGGUCCUAAUGAGAAAGUAUAUUGCAAUAUAUGACUUUUUUAAAAAAAUGAAAAUCCACUUAAGCGUUGGGCAGGGAAACUAAGCUAUGAUUGUAUAUGUUGUUCUCAAGGAUAAAACAGCAAGUGACAAUUCAGAAAGACACAGUCUUUGUGAGAGGUUAAUGUGCAGACCACGACCAGUAACUUAGAAACGCUCAUCAGAGUUUUGCUUCUGCUAUCUGUUGUUCCAAGGGCUGGAAGGACCACUGUCAGUUGAAUCUGCCUCAGCUUCGCAGAGGGGCUUGCUAACAGUCCACUGCUUGGUGUAAUGAAAUCUCUUCAGAAGCAAAGCAGACUCAGAAACUUAGUGAUGCACCUUAUUCUUUCUCUCCUGCUUUUACAAUAUCCCCAAACCCUGUGAUUUUCCCAGUGUGUUUUCUGUAGUAGUUUUGUACUGUAGAAAAUAAUCUGCCAUAAACUGGACUUUAUUGUGUUGCAAGUGAUGUCUCUGGCUUAUUGCCCUCCUGCUCCACAUGGUCCACUUAAUAAUGUAAAACCUGUGAUAAUCCUUUGCCUUAAAGACAGAUGCUAAAUAUUUCUGUGUUCCAAUUAAUAAUUCUUAGCUUCACUGUUAAUUUUCCUUUAAAGCUAACUGUGGUGUCAAAUAAAAUAUUACACAAAUACUC
rnacentral:lncRNA from 1 species